GAUCAUUGCUGGAAAGCGCCCCAGGCGCACCCAGAAACCCUUUGUGAACUCAUACCUUACUGUUGCCUCGGCGCAGGCCGGCCCCCCUCGGGGGCCCCUCGGAGACGAGGAGCAGGCCCGCCGGCGGCCAAGUUAACUCUUGUUUUUAACUGAAACUCUGAGGAAUAAACACAAAUGAAUCAAAACUUUCAACAACGGAUCUCUUGGUUCUGGCAUCGAUGAAGAACGCAGCGAAAUGCGAUAAGUAAUGUGAAUUGCAGAAUUCAGUGAAUCAUCGAAUCUUUGAACGCACAUUGCGCCCUCUGGUAUUCCGGAGGGCAUGCCUGUUCGAGCGUCAUUUCAACCCUCAAGCCUGGCUUGGUGUUGGGGCACUGCCUGUAGAAGGGCAGGCCCUCAAAUCUAGUGGCGGGCUCGCCAGGACCCCGAGCGCAGUAGUUAAACCCUCGCUUGGAAGGCCCUGGCGGUGCCUUGCCGUUAAACCCCCCAACUUCUGAAAAUUUGACCUCGGAUCAGGUAGGAAUACCCGCUGAACUUAAG
rnacentral:rRNA from 1 species